CAAUUUCUGCUGGCAGCCUAUAUAGAGAACAAGGAAGAAGGAAGCACGCUCUCUGCCUGCUUGCUCUCACUCUUUUUAGCAAGUCCAUUCCUUCACUGGGGAAUGGCUUCCUGGGGACCCUGGCAUAUACAGAGGGCCAGCUGAGACAUCAUCCAGCCUUGUGGACUGAAAAACUACUGCAUUCUUGGACCUUCCAUUGGUAGUCAUUGGAGGCAGGCAGGCCAGCCAACGAGAGGCAUGGAGAAGGGCUGGUUAGAGGCAGGCCAGUGAGAAACAAGAAGGGGAAAUAGAAGGAAGCCAAGGACAGAAAUCUCAGGUGUCAGCACAUCCAGAGUGCAACAGACAAGUCUUAUCCUGGGAAAACCACCUUCAUGAUCACAGUAUCACCCCUACCAGGUUAGAACACUCAAUGGACACUUCUUCUCAGCGUGCUGAUCAGUUAUGAGUUUCUGCAUCAACUGCCACCCUCUGAAAAUGCUUCCUGGAGGACAAUGAAAUGGCUCAGCAGUUGCUGUUUUCACAGAGAACUACAGGUUGGCUUCCAGCUCCUAGGUCAGGUAGCUCACAACUGCCUGUAACUCUAGCUCCUUAGGAUCUGAUGCCCUCUU
rnacentral:lncRNA from 1 species